CCUACUUAAUUAUUGUGGUGAUUAAAUCAGAAAUGUUCCCCAUUGGCUUCAGUACUUGAACACAUCAUUCUCAGUUAGUGGUACUUCUUUUGGGAGAUUUAGGUGGUUCAUUUGCUGGAGGAAAUGAAUGACUGUAAGUGGACUCUGAGAUUAAAUGCUUGGAUCACAUCCAGUUUACUCUCUCUGCCUGGCUUUUGUUGUAAGAGAAACUGAAAAUGCAAAGGAACUACAGUCACAACAUCUCAAGAUAUGCUAAGUAUUUCCAGAAAACCCCUGAUUUUGUUAUAGUGUUCUCUACCUUUCACUGACCUGCAACAGCAUUAGAGAAGCUAUUGUAAUGCUCUUAUGAAAUAAACCCCAAAUAGGCUGCUUUCUGGAGGCUCUUAUCUUUGGUUCAGGUGGCAUGUGUAUAGCUGGAGCUACAUCUGCUCUUGGCAGUUUUGGGGGCUUUGUUGGACCUCAUCAUGCUGAAUGCUUGGAUUCUUUUGUCCCUGGUUGCCCAUAUGCAAAUAAUGAACCUGCUCUGGGUAAAUUUUUGUAUGCAUAGGUGUUUUGUCUCAUUAGACUCAGACAAAUUAAUAAGCUGUAUGCUGUGAACUUUCUUCAGUUUCUUGUUGAACUAUGGGACAGCCAGUUGCUCAAAGGCACUGUAGAAUUAAUUAAUUACUCAUCUUCCUUUGUAGAAACUGGCUUAAAACUUGGAAGAUGGAACUCACAUGUUCACAAGUUGAGAAGUUUAGAAAGCAGAAACAACCUUUUAAAGAAAAAAUACCUUCACGAUUCUUCAUGAAGGAUAAACCUGAACUUCAGGUUCUACAGUAAAAGGAACACCAUAAAUGUUCAUUGGUAUUUCUGAUGAAGCUCAAGCAGAAGAUUUCAGUGUGAGCCCUUGGCUUCCUGACACCAUGCCUACUACCUGCUUUUUCUGAUCUGACAUUAUGAACUCUGUUUGGAAAGAGUAUAACUUAAUGUACCAAGAAAUCACAUCUUUCAGUUCAAACAACAGCUAGAGCAGCAAAGGAGACAACUGCCAACUGCCAACUGCCAACUGCUUGUUGAUGGGAACUGGGCAUCAUGAACUCAGAAGACUAACCAUUAAUACUGAUGGUUAUCUUAUCUUAUUUCUCCAUUGCUGUAACAGUGCAGAGCAUAUGUCUGGUGCUCUAGAACAAGGUGGGCCCAGAUUCUCUAACUCACAGUGCACAUGAGACUGGAGGUGCCAGUUUGAGAUACUUUUUUGAUUUGAAGGCCAUGUAUAUUCAAGUGCAGAAUUACUGCAUCAUAUGUUACUUUUGUGUGUGUGUGUGUGUGUGUGUGUGAGAGAGAGAGAGAGAGAGAGAGAGAGAGAGAGAGAGAGAGAGAGGGGGGGAUAGGUAUAUAUAGAGAGACAGAGAGAUAGAGAGACAGAGACAGAAACAGGGACAAAGAGAAAGAUAGGUUGGUUUGGUGUGGGGUAUGGACACAAGACAAUUGCUGCAGCAAUAAACCAUAUCCUGAGCCUAGUAUUUGUUUGUAUUAAUGGACCUACAGUGUCUGUACUAUACUGGAGACCAAACCGAGAACCUAAUGCAUACUAUGUAUAUUCUACCACUUGGUUUCUACGGCAAGCCUUUAUGUUUAAGUUUUAAUGAGAAGGAAGUACAAUUUCUUUUCUUUGGUUCUCCCUUCAAUUUCCCAUAGCACAUUUAUUACUUUCCAUUCCAAAUAUCAUAGUGUUUAUGGCCAUUCUUCUGGCAUCCUUUGCAUAUGUAAAUUUUAUAUUAAAUUAUGAAAAUAACCUUCAAGCUUUGAUGAAAAAAUACUAGAACAUAAAUGCUAUUCUAACAAAUAUAUAAUGUAAUGGUGUUACAGGACAUUGAAGUGGACAAAUAAAAAAAUCUACUCUU